CCAGUUCGGAUUGUAGUCUGCAACCCGACUACAUGAAGCCGGAAUCGCUAGUAAUCGCGGAUCAGAAUGCCGCGGUGAAUACGUUCCCGGGUCUUGUACACACCGCCCGUCACACCAUGGGAGUCGGAAAUGCCCGAAGCCGGUGACCCAACCCGAAAGGGAGGGAGCCGUCGAAGGCAGGUCGGAUGACUGGGGUGAAGUCGUAACAAGGUAGC
rnacentral:rRNA from 1 species